AUUAUUAUUAUUAAUUCAAUUAAAAGCAUAAUUGGAACAACAGCAACAAAACUCGAUGUACUCCUAUCUUCAUCUUCUUCUUACUUCACAAUACUUCAUUCUUAUGAAACAACGACAACACUUCUCACCCCAUCAUCUCCUCCUAAAGUCGUCUAUCUCUCUCGCGGCUUGCGAUUUUGUUGUAAGAGAGACGGUUUUGACGCGUGUGGAGGUGGUGCAUUUAAUGGAGAUGGGUUUGAAGGGAGAUACGGGUAUGACAACGAGGUUGAAGCCGUAACAAAAAUGAGAUCACCGGGAAAGGUACACUCUAAUCUUUUUAAUUACUCUGAGUUUCCAUGUGUUUCUUGCUUCUGUUUUUACGAACAGUGCUCUACCUGGUGGUGUUGA